AGGCUGGUCAGGGAGCAUCCUGUGUGU
rnacentral:piRNA from 1 species